rnacentral:ncRNA from 2 species
AACGAAUAUUCAACAAUAGGUCCUUAAAUGACAAGAUUUUGAGGAUAAUAGGGAAGUUUGGUGAAAUUCCAACGCGGUCCCGCCACUGUAAACGUUGAAUGUAGCUAAAAAAAUACCCACUGUAUAAAUGAUAUGGGAAGGGUUAGCUAUAAUGAUGAUGCGUUAGCCAGGAGACCUGCCUAUUGUUAUGUAAAAGU